CUCGUAGGUGGCCAACUAAGUCAGACGCGAAAUCCCUCAGCUUAACUGGGGAACUGCGUCUGAUACUGGAUGGCUUGAGUUUGGGAGAGGGAUGCGGAAUUCCAGGUGUAGCGGUGAAAUGCGUAGAUAUCUGGAGGAACACCGGUGGCGAAGGCGGCAUCCUGGACCAAUCUGACACUGAGGAGCGAAAGCCAGGGGAAGCAAACG
rnacentral:rRNA from 1 species